CACUGUUGCAGUAACAAGCAGCCCCCCGUGGGUCCCCCAGGCUGCAUGCUGAUGCUCCCCUGAAAGGGCCCGGGCAGGCCACAGGACUCCUGGACAAACAUGCACCGUAGGCCAAAGUUCCAGGACUCAGGAAGGGACAGACACCCAAAGCAUCUGCCCCUCGAACCGGGGCCACUAUAGGGCCUGGGGCCGCCCCUGGGUGUCUGUGUUCUCGAUGGAGAAAGCACGCUGCGCUCUGCUGGAUGGUGCCUUGCUGUCGUGUUCAUCCCUGUGUCCACGUGAACACCUGCCCUACCCUGCAACCUCUCGGGCCCUCAGACAUGCCGCAAACACAGCUCCUCCCAUGUCCUUCGAUACAGUUGCACACCCCAUGUACCCAGGCCCCACAAAGCACAGGGCGCGGCACCUCCAAGCCAGAUGCAGAUGGACGGUGGUCAGGGCUGGGAGCUGGGGACAAAAAGAGGAUGAAAGGAUACUGGUGGUGGAGAUGGCUUGGUAACACCUUCCAUCAGGAUCCGCUGUAUCGUUGGGCCCCCAAGGUAAAUCCUCUCAAAACACAGACAGGAGGUGCCUCCUCCUCAAGCUCAGGGGCACAUGGUCAAGUCCUCCUUCCUGUUGGGGCUAGGAGCGCCACGCUAAGGCCUCCCACCAACUUCUGUUCUUGUGUAAGUUCAUUCUAACCUGAUCUGUCCUUCUCCACGUGCAUCUUGGUGUUGUUCGCUUUCACCCUGUUCGGUGCCGGUGAGCCAUGAACCUUGAAAACAAAACAAACAGUGCAUGUGACAGCCAGCCCCCAACCCUGGCAGGUCCUCCCAGAGCCAGGCCUCGCCUUCUGGAACUUGCCGCCAUGGCCAGCAGGUUCCCAGAGCUGUCUGUGCUGUGCGCAUCACUCCCAGAAUCACAGUGGACUUUCCUCCGUCUAAAGUACGAGUCGCCCUGCAGCGGGGUGGCCAACUGUGACAGCAGUAGUCUGCGUUGAAGGAAGGGUCAGGUCCCUGGAGCAGUGUUUGCUGCGUGCCCACAGACACCAGGCUUCCAGGAAAACCAAGGGGCACCCACCGCCCACCUGUGUACAGUUCAGGGAUGGACAGGGCUCAGCACCGAGCUCACUCCCAAGGACACCAGAGCAGAAGGGCCUGGAACUUGGCAGCGUUUGGCCUGCAGAGACAGUCAGCUGGGAACCUGAGGUCAGAGGAGGUGGCAGGAGAGGACGGCACAGACCAUCAGGCAGAGGUGUGCAGAGAGAAGGGACGGUGUCCUGCACGCUGCGGGGCCAUGCCUGCUUUCAGGACAGACCAGCGCGCAGCACCCCGAGAGCAACCUCCCCAUAUUGCAGCUUUGUCAUGCUGUUCAAUAACAGGCCUGUGUUCAAUAACCAAAUGGGAGCCCAGACCCUGACGGCUCGGAAGGGCUUCUGCCCGGGUGUGAAUUUGCUGACAAAGAGACACACGGCCUCCCCAGAAGGUUCCAGGCGAGCUGCUGAAGGGACAGCUUCAGACUGGAGACAGCGCUGCAGGUCUGACCUUCUGUGGAAUGGUGCCGGUGCACUUAAUCCCCUAGGAACCUGGACAGAAGAGCCCCAGAGUCGGCCUUGCUGUGGGCAGAGGAGGGGACCCGAGCCUGGGGUGUCCCCCCAUAAGAAUGACUGUCUGGAAAAGCCAAGGGAGGGGCUGGGCCUGGCGGCUCCUCAAGCCCCCCUGGUGGGGGGAGCCACCAGCACGAGCUCCGUUUUGGGCCAGGGGCCAGACGCAGGCCCACCAGCUUCUAGAACCUUCUGUCCUCACAAGCCCAUGGGAUCCAGGGAAUGGCCCCUGGCCGGCAGUGGGUGGGCUGGGCCACGUGGCCAAGAGCUGCUCUCAUCCUGGCAGGAGCAACGUGGGCUCCAGUGGCUGUGAUGUCACCAGACACCAGCAAGGUUGUUCGGGGGGCCCUGAAGGCAGCAGAGGAGCCCAGCUCCCAUCCCCCAUUGGACCUCAUAGUCCAAAGUCUGGGGCAAGACCCCGCCAGCUCCAUCCUGACACACCAGUGCCUUUCAAGGCUCUGAAAUGUGGCAGCUUCCAGGCUUUUCUGGCAAUGUUUCUGGGGCUGUGGUUCCGUGGGGCCUGGCAGCCCUGCUCCUCUCAGGACAGAAUCCCAAGUGAGCCUACAGGGGUGCAACUAGAAGUGUCUCCACCAGAGUUGUCACCAAACUUACUGAAAGUGUGAGCCUGUCUCAGAACGAGUAAGUCCAGCCGGGCUGUGCUCUUGUCGACGGGAGUCUGCGCCAAGGCAAACUUCGCCAGCGUUUGAACUCUGUAAACAUGUAGCGCCAACCUCAGAUCUUUCAGAAGUUAGAGGCUUCAGUGGAAGUUCUUGGGCCGUCACAUUUCUUGAGAAGUUUGGGGCAAGAAAAGAGCAUCUGUGUCACUUGAACACAAGGCCCCUGGCCCUGCUCUGCGUCUCCAGGCCACUUGCCCCAGGCACCCCAGCCUUGAACCCCUGAUGUGGCCACGAGAGAUCGCCCCACAAGGUGGAGAGGGUCUGGGCGCCCCCGCCGCCUCCCCGGGGCAGCCGUCUUGUCUGGACCGCCUCGGAGGUCUGCCGGCAGGAGGCUGGGUCAGCCCGACGACAGGUAUCCAUGCAGGGGCUCCUGGCCACCCAGACGCUUUUCCACUGGGCGUCUGGGUAGGACGGAAAGUGUGUUGAACCAUUAGGGCAGGUUUUACUGGACUUGCAAAGAAGAGUGACAUCCACUCAAAAUACACCAUAAAUCCCUUUCACGGGAUGGAAUGUGUCAGCCUCACUGCCUUGGCAUAAAGGACAGGAGGGACCGCAGCGUAAGCAGCCCCAGGAAGCACGUCUGAGGACAGGUGCAGGACGCGCGACGCCACUCGGGGGACCCCACAGCAUCCCCCGCCCAGGAGGGCCCCCUGCACCACUCCGCCAGGGGCUUCAGCUCCGUGCUUCCUCAAGCACCGGCUCCGCUUGCUGAUUCUCACAAGCCGCCUUCCGUCCCCACUGCGACUCUGGAUCACUCCUUUCUAUUUAAAACAGGUUGUGUCGUGAGUGUGCAGCAUCACAGUCCUUCCGGAGAAACGGGGGCCCCAGAGGCCCCCACACGAUCUUGCGUCCUGGGCCCUGGCUCCCCUUGCUUCACAAGCUGCCGUGGUGGCAAGACAGCCAGGGCUGCCAGCGAGGCAUCUGUGCAGGGCAAGUGUGCCCGCACUCCCGGGCUGCUUCCCCACGUGUGUCAGAUUACUAGCAAAACACACGUAGCAUAUAUAAGCUACCGUCACGAUGGCAUUCAAACAGUUCACCACGUUCAAAACGCCCAACCCCCAUACCCAACACCGUCCCCCACACCCGUCCCACCUGUCCCCAAUACCUGUCCCUGACACCAUCCCCAUAGGCUUCACCUGCAACGGAGCCCCCACUCCACCACCCCCCGCGCCCACCAUCUGCUUUCUGUCUCCAUGAUCAAUGGCUCUAGGGACAUCCUAUGAGUGGACUCACAGCACAUUGGCCCUUUCGUGUCGGGCUCACCUCGCUCGGCACAGCGUCGUCCAGGAUCACCUGUGUCGUCACAGGUGCCACAGUCUCCCUCCCCCUUCCUGCAGAAUGAUGUUCCACUGUGUGCUUGGACUACUCUAUGCCCAUCCAUCCACCUGGGCCACGGGCACCUUUGCAAAAACCGCUGUUCUGAAUGUGGGGCACAUGUAUGUUUUUGAGGCUCUGCUUUCAAUUCUUUGAGGGAUGUACUCAGUCUUCACUGUACUUUAAUAUAUGAUUUCGUAUUUC